GUUGGAACCUUCGGAAUCAAGGGUAAGGGGAAUAACCCCGGC
rnacentral:rRNA from 1 species